ensembl:antisense Arhgap27os1 Rho GTPase activating protein 27, opposite strand 1
CUCAGCGCCAUCCUCCCCAACGCCAUUCCCCCCUCAGUCCAGCCCGGCCCGGGCACCUUAGAACUUUCGCCCGCUGGCCUAGCUUCCACUUGUCCCGGCAGACGCGCGUGGGGUCCGCGUCCGGAGCUGCCUGCUCCACAGCCCUGCUCCGGCGAUGCCCUGUUUCCUGUUCAACAAUAUAACCGGCGGAGAGCGCUCGGCAGAACUUCCUCCCAAGCCGGGACUGGGCUGUGCUUGCAAGAGACAAUCCCCGGUGUCCUGGCUUCCUGUCCCCUCUGGGCCGGGCCAGCGCUCUAGGAGCAGAGACGCCACCCUCCCCCACCUCUUCCCCGGGAUCCUGGGCCACACCUGGCUGUCUCCGGGGAGGAGGCGGUGGCAGGGCCUGGAUGGAGAUCUGCGGGGGAGGCAGUUUCUCUCAGCUUCUGACCAGAUUAGACUCCCACUGACCCUCAUCCUUGUCGGAGGAAGUCACCGGCCACUCUGCAGGCGGCCGGAGUGUAGUUGCGGGAUCCUCCCAUUUUGGAAACUACCUGCCUCUUGGGAAAGCGGCCUUAGCACUCUGAGGUGUGCCUGUGAACACUUCUGACAAAGGAGGCACUUUCUGGGGAUGAGAACUCCAGUUUGCCCAUCCCCCUCUAGACAGGGGAAAGGGGAAACUGCCCUCAGAGGCACUGUGCUGAAGGUGGAAAGACAACCAAAGACAGCAACAGCAGCAGCAGCACAAGUGCCAGGCGCCUCCCCCGGGCCUGCCACCCCCAACCUCCAAAUCCAGUUCCUCUCCCUUUUCUCUGAGCCCUGAGAACCUGCCUCAAAGAUGGCUAAGGAGCACCCAGCCACUGGCUGAGGGCGCUCAAGGCCAGGAAACAAAGCCCUGGAUGUUGUCUUUUUCUGUCCCAUUUUUCUGCAACCUGGUUUCCCUAGGAAUUAA